GAGACAAUAGUUCAGGUUUGUCUACAGGGACAAAUAGCUCAUAAACAGUUUCAUCGGCAGAAGUCACUGCAUUCUGACAAGCACCAAAUUCUGCCCCAAUGCUCUCUAGAAACUUGACAAUAUCGUGAUUUGUGUAUUUCUCUGUGGCACUAAAAGCAAGAUGCUCAACUAUGUGAGCAACUCCGCGUUCUUCCUCUUCUUCUAAAACUGAGCCAGCUUUAACAGCAAGUGCAAGUGCAGCUCUCAUUUUUGGUUUAGAAUUGGAUCGGACAUAGUAUGUUAGCCCAUUUUCGAGCUUCCCGUAUUCAACCCCUUGCGGCGUUUCCGAUAAUACUUCAUCCAUAUUCACAUUUACAAGCUUCAGUGAACGAAAUCUGUGCUUCUUCGGCAAUAUCGGCGAUGAUUCCGCCGGCAACAAAUCCAUUUUCCGGUGCCGUAUCUUCU
rnacentral:misc_RNA from 1 species